CCUUGCACUGUAAAAGAUCAAAACAAUUGCUUAAUUUGAUUAUGUUGUUUGUUGGCAGACAAAAAUAUUACAAAUAUAGUUUUAUUGGACUUGACUGUCUUGCGUUUACUACGAAAUAAAUUUCACUUAUACCUUAGCCUCAGCAACACGUGGUGUUUAUGCCAUGAAAUUGUAGCUUAUGUGAUAGGUUGCUAUUUUUAACACAGCGCCAUCUAUGAGAUAUUAAUGUUAAACAGUAUUACAAUUGUCUGUAAAAACUGAUUUAAGGCGCAAACUGUUUUAGACUUAUGAAACUUACAACUAAUAACAAUAAUCAGCAUAAGAAAUCAUUUUAUUGUUAAUUAAUAAAUAUUGCAUCCAUUAAUCGAAAUAAAAACCAUCCUAUGGCCGAAGUUGGAACAAAACAUAUAUUAAAAAAAAAGAAGUUAAAAUCGGUUCUGUAGUUUAGGUGUCCAUCGCGAACAAACAACUUGACACGUAAUUUAUUUAAAUUAAGAAGAUGUGCAGAUUGGGAAAUUUCCCAUUUAGUUUAUACUUUACUAAUCGGCAAUAUAAAAAAGGUACCCAGCCACAAAAAUACAAAUACAUUAUUAAAAAUACUUUUACGUAUUAACCUCGCAUUGAUUUAUUUUUAUUAUAAUAUUUCCGAUGUGUCGAAUACUUCAGUUUUCAUGGUUAAAGACAACUAGAGCGAUAUUUGUUUAUCGUGCCUACUGCUACCGUUAAGAAGUAAUGCAUACCCUGUUUAAAAGGUAGAAUAGCCGUUCUUCUAUUUAAUUGAGUUUUAGACCACAUAUCUCAAGUUCAGAGGCGGCAACUUAUUAAUCACUUAAGCUAUGGGUUGUAAAUUCGUUCAUAAGUAGGAGAAGUGUUAGCAACGUCAUCAGGUUUGAGCCCCGUGAGCUCACCUACUAGUUAAGGCGACGCUGAUAUAGCCUCUCAAGGCUAUCAGCUUAGGUAGGAAAAAAAAGGUAGGGGAAAAAAUACCGAUAAUUAAAUUUAUCACUUACAGGUCCAGGCAGCUUUGGGUUGGAACAUUCUGCGAGAGGUUCUGGAUUCCCCAAUUCAGGAAUGUUACAGCACGCCGAAAUUGGUUUCUGUAAAAUACCAUUUAUACCAUUUCGUUAUAUACUUAAACAACACAGAUAUGAAUUUGAAAAGUGAAUGGCAGGAUGGCAUCUAGUAAAAAAAGGGCUCGCCAAAAAUUUGGAAUUCUGGGACGGACAAUAUACAUAAUUAUGGCGUCAUAAAAGACUUAUGUAUACAUAUUUUAAAAUUGAUGUUUAAAUAAAGGAAAAUCUUCUUAACAUC